UCUCUCUCCCUCUAUAGACUCGUUCGUCUGAUUCCUCUUCCAUACAAAUAUAAAUAGUUAUCCAAUUGUGGAUGUGCCAUUGAUUUAUCUUAGAAAAACACAUUCAGAUGGAUUCAGGAAGAUCAUUAAGAGAAUGGGAAGAGGAGGAGUGAUAGAAACAGAGGAGUACAUGGGUAGAGAAGGAGAGAGGAUGGGGAGGAGGAGUGAUAGAAACAGAGGAGUACAUGGGUAGAGGAGAAGGAGAGAGGAUGGGGAGGAGAAGUGAUAGAAACAGAGGUGUACAUGGGUAGAGGAGAAGGAGAGAGGAUGGGGAGGAGGAGUGAUAGAAACAGAGGUGUACAUGGGUAGAGGAGAAGGAGAGAGGAUGGGGAGGAGGAGUGAUAGAAACAGAGGAGUACAUGGGUAGAGGAGAAGGAGAAAGGAUGGGGAGGAGGAGUGAUAGAAACAGAGGAGUACAUGGGUAGAGGAGAAGGAGAAAGGAUGGGGAGGAGGAGUGAUAGAAACAGAGGAGUACAUGGGUAGAGGAGAAGGAGAAAGGAUGGGGAG